rnacentral:rRNA from 1 species
GAAAACAAAAAAUCAUGGCGGUAUCUUAAGCUUUUCAGAGGAAUUUGCUCUUUAAUGGAUAAAACACCCAAAUCUUACUAAAAUUGGUUAAGACAGUUUGUAUACCACUAUUUAAGUAAUUAUUAAUUAUAAUUGCUGUAAAUUUUAAACAAAAAAAAAGUUAAGUCAAGGUGCAGCAUAAAUUUUAGGAUGAAGUGAAUUACAAUGCUUUUUAGAAAAGCGAUUAAAAAAAAUUAGGAUUUGAAAGUAAAAAUUUUAAUAGAAUGAUUAUUUGAAUUAAGCUCUGAGAUAUGUA